CCUACGGGUGGCAGCAGUGAGGAAUAUUGGUCAAUGGCCGCAGGGCUGAACCAGCCAAGUCGCGUGAGGGAUGACGGUCCUAUGGAUUGUAAACCUCUUUUGUCAGGGAGCAAAGGGCGCCACGUGUGGCGUGUUGCGAGUACCUGAAGAAAAAGCAUCGGCUAACUCCGUGCCAGCAGCCGCGGUUAUACGGAGGAUGCGAGCGUUAUCCGGAUUUAUUGGGUGUAAAGGGUGCGCAGGCGGAAUGUCAAUUCAGCGGUAAAAUUUCGGGGCUCAACCCCGUCGUGCCGUUGAAACUGGUGUUCUUGAGUGAGCUAGUAGUCUGCGGCCUGCGUGUUGUAGCGG
rnacentral:rRNA from 1 species